UGGGCACAAUUUUAUACCCUUGCUGUUGUUC
rnacentral:piRNA from 1 species